GCCGCCUUAGCUCAGUUGGUUAGAGCGCCAGAUUGUGGCUCUGGAGGUCCUCCGUUCGAUCCGGAGAGGCGGUA
rnacentral:tRNA from 1 species